UUGAAGUGUCUUAGUUUUAAACAUGAAUGCUUAACAAAUCGAUAAAUCCAACGAGUUAAUCGUGAACAUGUCAACAGCUAAGUACUUGAACGCUGUCAGUGCAAGGUACACCCUCACCUGCCGAGAAUGUUACCAAAAGAAGCAGUACAACAGCAAUGUGGAGACCCAAGGAGAACGUGAAGUGGCUAGAUAAGAUAGUUCCUAUCACUCAAGACAGGAUGCAGCUGUUGACAUAUUCUUUCAUUGGCAAGCGUAUACAACUGGUGUGAACAAAGUGUCAGCUCUAUUAGAGCCUCCUAUUGACAAAGUGUCUGUUUUCUUAAUGUCUUGUAGGUGUCAGUGAUGAAGAGGUUAAGGUGAUGGAGUGUCAAUUGGGGAUUGUGUAAGUUGGUGUAGAGUCAGUCUUUCAAUGGACUAUUCCCACUGCGACACUCACUCUUGUAAAACCCUUCACAUUAAAGCUUGUAGCUAGAAAUUUCGAAGGGGUAGCUUCAGGUAAAAGUGACAUCAUCUAUGGCUUUCUGGAUUGACUGUCUUUGUCCAGUGACACCUUCAGGAUGACACCCCC